UCAGACUUGUUUGGAUUCAAGGGAUGACUC
rnacentral:piRNA from 1 species